rnacentral:rRNA from 1 species
AACGAACGCUGGCGGCAUGCCUAACACAUGCAAGUCGAACGAGACCUUCGGGUCUAGUGGCGCACGGGUGCGUAACGCGUGGGAAUCUGCCCUUUGCUUCGGAAUAACAGUUAGAAAUGACUGCUAAUACCGGAUGAUGUCUUCGGACCAAAGAUUUAUCGGCAAAGGAUGAGCCCGCGUAGGAUUAGGUAGUUGGUGGGGUAAAGGCCUACCAAGCCGACGAUCCUUAGCUGGUCUGAGAGGAUGAUCAGCCACACUGGGACUGAGACACGGCCCAGACUCCUACGGGAGGCAGCAGUGGGGAAUAUUGGACAAUGGGCGCAAGCCUGAUCCAGCAAUGCCGCGUGAGUGAUGAAGGCCUCGGGUCGUAAAGCUCUUUUACCUAGGGAUGAUAAUGACAGUACCUGGAGAAUAAGCUCCGGCUAACUCCGUGCCAGCAGCCGCGGUAAU